rnacentral:rRNA from 1 species
UACGAAGGGGGCUAGCGUUGCUCGGAAUCACUGGGCGUAAAGCGCACGUAGGCGGAUUGUUAAGUCAGGGGUGAAAUCCUGGAGCUCAACUCCAGAACUGCCUUUGAUACUGGCGAUCUUGAGUCCGGGAGAGGUGAGUGGAACUGCGAGUGUAGAGGUGAAAUUCGUAGAUAUUCGCAAGAACACCAGUGGCGAAGGCGGCCUUCUCGGACGGUGACUGACGCUGAGACGCGAAAGCGUGGGGAGCAAACAGG